rnacentral:rRNA from 1 species
UACGUAGGGGGCAAGCGUUGUUCGGAAUUAUUGGGCGUAAAGGGUGCGUAGGCGGGUCUUUUAAGUCAGGGGUGAAAUCCUGGAGCUCAACUCCAGAACUGCCUUUGAUACUGAGAAGCUUGAGUCCGGGAGAGGUGAGUGGAACUGCGAGUGUAGAGGUGAAAUUCGUAGAUAUUCGCAAGAACACCAGUGGCGAAGGCGGCUCACUGGCCCGGUACUGACGCUGAGAUGCGAAAGCGUGGGGAGCAAACAGG